rnacentral:misc_RNA from 1 species
AUUCACAAAAGUGUAUUUUAUUAAUAAACUUUAAUUUGAUAAUAUUUAAAAAUAAUUGUUAAAGAAAAUGUAUUUUAAAUCUUUAUAAGAUUCAAAAUUGGCUUAGCAUAUCAACCAAGAAGAGUUAGGUACUUAGGCAGUGGGUACUGGGUAGUUGAGCUCCGCGUCAAAUCUCGCUAAGAUCGUAACCUAUCUGUCCUCUUCUGCUUCCUCUUCCUCACUCUCUUUCCCUUGCUUUGGCAUAGUUUUUAACGAAACAGAAAGAAACCCAACAUUUUACCAAGAAAACCACUAACUGGAAAUGUUUUCGAUUAGAUCAAUCUUUAGACCACAACAACUAAGACCCUCCUCUCUUUUCUCAUUACAUUCUUCAUAUUCAUCUUCAACUUCAGCUUCAGCUGCUUCAAUUCAGGCUGAUAGAACUAUCAGAGAGGGUCCAAGAAAUGAUUGGACCCGUCAAGAAAUCAAGGAUGUUUACGACUCACCUCUUCUUGAUCUCCUUUUCCAUGGAGGUCACGUUCAUAGACAUGCUCAAAACUUCAGAGAAGUGCAGCAAUGUACUCUCCUUUCUAUCAAGACUGGUGGGUGUAGUGAGGAUUGUUCGUAUUGUCCUCAAUCUUCACGAUAUAGCACUGGAGUUAAAGCACAAAAACUUAUGACCAAAGAGGAUGUUAUGGAGGCAGCUAAAAAGGCAAAAGAAGCUGGUAGCACACGUUUUUGUAUGGGUGCUGCAUGGAGGGACACAGUUGGAAGGAAGACCAACUUUAACCAGAUCCUAGAUUAUGUAAAAGAAAUAAGUAUAAGGAUUAUUGUCCGGUGCAAUUGCAAGCCUUGAACUUGAAAAGGAAGGACUGCAAGUUGCAUGCUUGAGUUCAUUCACUUCAUCAAAUAUAUUGAGUGACAGGACCAUCCCCUGACUUCCCAUCCUUCAUUUUCUUUUAAUCAACUGUCCUAUCUGCAAUUGAAAUGUCUUGUGUGUUCCAGGGAUAUGGGCAUGGAAGUAUGCUGUACUCUAGGAAUGUUAGAGAAACAACAGGCUCAAGAACUCAAAAAAGCGGGCCUUACUGCUUAUAAUCAUAAUCUUGACACCUCGAGAGAAUAUUACCCACAUAUAAUCACAACAAGGACUUACGAUGAACGCUUGAAAACCCUUGAAUAUGUCAGAGAAGCAGGAAUCAAUGUCUGCUCAGGAGGCAUAAUAGGGCUUGGAGAAGCAGAGGAAGAUCGUGUUGGUCUAUUGCAUACAUUGGCAACACUCCCUACUCACCCAGAGAGCGUUCCAAUCAAUGCACUAUUGGCAGUAAAAGGCACGCCUCUACAGGAUCAGAAGGUAAUUCUAAUUCUGUUCGACACAAAGGGCAUUGUUAAUGUUCUGGCAUUUAUCAUGAUAUUGUACAAAGUUCUAUAAAUGUCCUGUUUAUUUUAUUUUCAUAUCUUGUUUUUCAUCUUUUGGAAUGCAGUGAAAAGAGAUGAGCAUUUUGUUAUAGGACAAAACUAGAAUUAUUAAAAAUAUAUUUGAUUGGCAGUAAUUCAUUGCAUUUUAAAUUUUGUUUUGGAUUGUUGUCCUUGAUUACUUUAUUGGUUGGAAGAUGCGAAAACCAAUCAUUUCUGCAAAUAAAAUAAAAAGGUGUCUUAGUGCAUGGGAGCAUUAUGGCUGUUCAAGGAAGCUAACUUUUUUUUUUUUGGUUGCUGAAUAUGUGACCUUCAAUUCAAGUCAUAAUAGAGCAUCCUUACCAUUACACUAAUGCUUAUGUUCAUUAAGCAAUUAAAAUAAUGAUGAAAACUCUCCAAAAAGAUAUUUUUUCACAAACUUUUCUCUUCUCCUUUAAUGAAUACUUACUAACAUAUUGUUAAUCUAUUGCACCUUCUAAACAUUAAAUGAGUUGCUUAUUGGUGCACUUUUUUCUUCAGAAGAUUGAUGUCCUACCUAUACACUGUCAGAUUGCUUUGAAAUUUUUCAAGUUGAAUAAUAUUCAUCUGUCUUCAUCAUUUUUAGCCAGUUGAAAUAUGGGAGAUGAUUCGAAUGAUUGCUACUGCUCGAAUAGUCAUGCCAAAAGCAAUGGUCAGGUUGUCAGCUGGUAGAGUGCGUUUCUCAAUGCCCGAACAAGCCCUCUGCUUUCUCGCUGGUGCAAAUUCUAUCUUUACUGGUGAGAAGCUGUUGACAACUCCUAACAAUGAUUUUGAUGCUGAUCAACUCAUGUUUAAGGUGCUUGGUUUGAUUCCAAAAGCUCCUAGUUUUCCUGAAGAUGAAGAGAGAGCUUUUGAAUUGGAAAAUUGUCAGGAAGCUGUUUCUAGUUCAGGUUAACAUUAUUACUUCUAGGGGCUAUCUAUGUAAUCAUCCCUUGGGCCAUUGCCCCCUUUAUGUGAAACUAAGUAGGAUGAUUUUUUAUUUUUCAAAUUAUAUUGGAUCAAUAAGAGAUGAUUCUUUUUUUAGCCACAGUGAAAAAUGCCAAUAAGAGAAAGAAAUUUGGCUAAAAAAAAAUGAAAAUGCUACGUUUCAUUUUCUGUGAAGAUAAGAGCUCACUUGAGUUCAGUUUCUUUGCAUUCACCAUGUGUUGCUUCAUCUUCGAAUGUAUUGACAAUGGCAGACUGGGAUUGAAGAAGUUGAAUAAAUGGACAGAGGCAGUGUUGGAUUGCAAUUGUCAUCAAUGUACUUGUGAGUUUUGAGCUUUCAUUAACUCAUUGCGUCUGUUAAUGUCAUGGGUAACUGAAAUCAUCUCAUCUCUUGAAGCUUGAGCUUGUGCUACCCUGUCUCUGAGACUGGGCUAGGGUUAAUGUGCUUUUAGGUCCCUUGCGUAAAAUUUUCAAGUGGCACGAUGAAUGAAUGGCCAAAAGCGCAGUUCAAUUAUUGCACGAGCUAAGGGCUCGCAGUUGAAGAAAUUGAGCAGCUGAAAUGUGCCU